rnacentral:rRNA from 1 species
GACGAACGCUGGCGGCGUGCUUAACACAUGCAAGUCGAACGAUGAAGCCGGAGCUUGCUCUGGUGAAUUAGUGGCGAACGGGUGAGUAACACGUGAGUAACCUGCCCUUGACUCUGGGAUAACUGCGGGAAACUGUAGCUAAUACCGGAUACGACCCUCGGAGGCAUCUCCUGGGGGUGGAAAGAAUUUCGGUCAAGGAUGAACUCGCGGCCUAUCAGCUAGUUGGUGAGGUAAAGGCUCACCAAGGCGGCGACGGGUAGCCGGCCUGAGAGGGUGACCGGCCACACUGGGACUGAGACACGGCCCAGACUCCUACGGGAGGCAGCAGUGGGGAAUAUUGCACAAUGGGCGCAAGCCUGAUGCAGCAACGCCGCGUGAGGGAUGACGGCCUUCGGGUUGUAAACCUCUUUUAGCAGGGAAGAAGCGAAAGUGACGGUACCUGCAGAAAAAGCACCGGCUAACUACGUGCCAGCAGCCGCCGUAA